rnacentral:rRNA from 1 species
AGAAUCAACGCUGGCGGCGUGCCUAACACAUGCAAGUCGAACGAGACAGUGGAGCAAUCCAUGAGUAAAGUGGCGCACGGGUGAGUAACACGUGACUAACCUACCCUAGAGUGGGGAAUAACUUCGGGAAACCGAGGCUAAUACCGCAUAACAUCGCAGAGGGAAGCUCUUUGCGAUCAAAGGAGUAAUUCGCUCAAGGAGGGGGUCGCGGCUGAUUAGCUAGUUGGUGAGGUAACGGCCCACCAAGGCUAAGAUCAGUA